GGCUCGGUGGUGGAUGGUCCACACCUGCAUUUCGUAAUUCAUCCUCCGCAAUGAGUCAUUGACGCAGGAGGAGCCCGUUCGAUCCGGGCCUGAGCCA